rnacentral:rRNA from 1 species
GAUGAACGCUAGCGGCAGGCCUAAUACAUGCAAGUCGAACGGUGGCAGCAAUGUCACAGUGGCGCACGGGUGCGUAACGCGUAGGCAAUCUGCCUACUCCUGGGGGAUAGCCCGCCGAAAGGUGGAUUAAUACCGCAUAAGACUACGGGGCGGCAUCGUCUAGUAGUUAAAGAAUUUCGGGAGUAGAUGAGCCUGCGUGCCAUUAGCUAGUUGGUGCGGUAACGGCGCACCAAGGCGACGAUGGCUAGGGGAGCUGAGAGGCCGAUCCCCCACACUUGGACUGAGAUACGGGACAGAGUCCGACGGGAAGCAGCAGUAUGGAAUAUAGGGCAAUGGGCGCGAGCCUGAACCAGCCAUGCCGCGUGACGGAUGAAGGCCUUCUGGGUUGUAAACGUCUUUUGAUCGGGAAGAAAAAGCCCUUGCGAGGGAAAUCGACGGUACCGAUUGAAUAAGCACCGGCUAACUCCGUGCCAGCCGCCGCGGUAACAC